ACAAUAUAAGAAUGUACGAUCAUUGCGCAUUGCGUUUACAUUUUUGCACAUCAACAACAUGGUGGGAGAAUUCUUAAUUUAAGUUUGUUGAGAUCAACAUACCAAGAUAUUUCAUACAAGACAGUCAGGUAAACUGACUUCUGACUGACUGUUCAAAGAAGGCUUCAAAAGUAACUAUUAGCAACUCCUUUUGAAAAUGGAUGAAAUUUGGCAUUGUGGUGUUAUCAAGUACCUGCAGAAAAAGGGUUUAAACCCCAAAGAGAUUCAUGCUGACAUGGCUGCUACAUUAGGGGAUGAUGCUCCAGCUUUAUCAACAGUGCUAAAGUGGACAGCUGAAUUUAGGAGAGAAAGGAAGAAUAUUGAAGAUGAGCCAAGGUCUGCAUGUCCUGCAACUGCCACCACUGACAAAAACGUUGAUUGUGUGGAUGACAGGUGAUUGACUAUAAAUCAAAUAGCUAAUGCUAUUAGCGAAUUCCAUGAGAGAGUUGAGAACAUACUGCACACACUGAGCUUGGCAUAAUGACGGUUUCUGCUCUGUUGGUGGAAAAAGAAAAGAAAUAGAGGCAGUGGAUUAACAGAAUUGUUAGAGUGCUGGAUAACAUGUUAAUAGUAUUUAGUUAUAUUUCUUUGUGUUCUGAGUUCAAACCCCACCAAAGUUAAUUUUGUAUUUCAUCCUUCCAAGAUCAUUUAUCAUAACAUGAACAAUAAAGCAUAAUUAAAAUUUGGACAAAAAGAACAAAGAAGAUACAUAACAGUUGUAAAGCACCAUGCAUUUACAGGUUAAUAAAUCAAUUAAAAACUAAA